UCCCUGAUAGCUCAGUUGGUAAAGAAUCUGCCUGCAAUGCAGGAUCCUGAUCCUGGUUCGAUUCCUGGGUUGGGAA
rnacentral:tRNA from 1 species